rnacentral:rRNA from 1 species
AGUGAACGCUGGCGGUAGGCCUAACACAUGCAAGUCGAACGGCAGCACAGUAAGAGCUUGCUCUUACGGGUAGCGAGUGGCGGACGGGUGAGGAAUACAUCGGAAUCUACUUUUUCGUGGGGGAUAACGUAGGGAAACUUACGCUAAUACCGCAUACGACCUACGGGUGAAAGCAGGGGAUCUUCGGACCUUGCGCGAUUGAAUGAGCCGAUGUCGGAUUAGCUAGUUGGCGGGGUAAAGGCCCACCAAGGCGACGAUCCGUAGCUGGUCUGAGAGGAUGAUCAGCCACACUGGAACUGAGACACGGUCCAGACUCCUACGGGAGGCAGCAGUGGGGAAUAUUGGACAAUGGGCGCAAGCCUGAUCCAGCCAUACCGCGUGGGUGAAGAAGGCCUUCGGGUUCUAAAGCCCUUUUGUUGGGAAAGAAAAGCAGCAGGUUAAUACCCCGCUGUUCUGACGGUACCAAAAGAAUAAGCACCGGCUAACUUCGUG